rnacentral:rRNA from 1 species
CGUUAGCGGCGGACGGGUGGAGUAACGACGUGGGUAACUGCCUUAUACAGGGGGAUAACAGUUAGAAAUGACUGCUAAUACCGCAUAAGCGCACGGGAACGCAUGUUUCUGUGUGAAAAACGUGAGGUAGUAUAAGAUGGACCCGCGUCUGAUUAGCUAGUUGGUGGGGUAACGGCCUACCAAGGCGACGAUCAGUAGCCGGCCUGAGAGGGUGACCCGGCCACAUUGGGACUGAGACACGGCCCAAACUCCUACGGAAGGCAGCAG